AGUGAACGCUGGCGGCGUGCCUAAUACAUGCAAGUCGAACGAGUGGCGCACGGGUGAGUAAUCUAUCGCUAAUCUUCCCUACACUAGAGGACAACAGUUGGGAACGACUACUGAUAAUCUCUAUUGUAGGAUGUGGCUGUAUUGUAUCAGCUAGUUGGUGAGGUAAUGGCGCACAAAGGGUAUGACGCAUAACUAGGCUGAGAGGAUGAUCAGUCACACUGGAACUGAGGCACGGUUGAGGCUCCUACGGGAGGGAGCAGUAGGGAACAUGGCUCAUGGGGGGAGACCCGGAAGCAGCAACGGCUCGUGGAGGAUGACACUUGUCGGAGCAUAAACUCCUUUUGUUAAGGAAGCGGUACCUAACGAAUAAGCACCGGCUAACUCCGUGCCAGCAGCCGCGGUAAUUC
rnacentral:rRNA from 1 species